CGGACGGGUGAGUAAUGCUUGGGAAUCUGGCUUAUGGAGGGGGAUAACUACGGGAAACUGUAGCUAAUACCGCGUAGUGUCGAGAGACGAAAGGGUGGGACCUUCGGGCCACCUGCCAUAAGAUGAGCCCAAGUGGGAUUAGGUAGUUGGUGGGGUAAAGGCCUACCAAGCCGACGAUCUCUAGCUGGUCUGAGAGGAUGACCAGCCACACUGGAACUGAGACACGGUCCAGACUCCUACGGGAGGCAGCAGUGGGGAAUAUUGCACAAUGGGGGGAACCCUGAUGCAGCCAUGCCGCGUGAAUGAAGAAGGCCUUCGGGUUGUAAAGUUCUUUCGGUGAUGAGGAGGGUGUUUGUUUUAAUAGAACAAGCAAUUGACGUUAGUCACAGAAGAAGCACCGGCUAACUCCGUGCCAGCAGCCGCGGUAAUACGGAGGGUGCGAGCGUUAAUCGGAAUGACUGGGCGUAAAGGGCACGCAGGCGGUGACUUAAGUGAGAUGUGAAAGCCCCGGGCUUAACCUGGGAAUUGCAUUUCAUACUGGGUCGCUAGAGUAUUUUAGGGAGGGGUAGAAUUCCACGUGUAGCGGUGAAAUGCGUAGAGAUGUGGAGGAAUACCGAAGGCGAAGGCAGCCCCUUGGGAAUAUACUGACGCUCAUGUGCGAAAGCGUGGGGAGCAAACAGGAUUAGGUACCCUGGUAG
rnacentral:rRNA from 1 species